rnacentral:sRNA from 1 species
CUUUGAAAUCCCAGUAAUGUCUUACGUAUGGUGGGAACACAAGAAAUAUUUGUUGGAUGCGUUUACUUGGAAGGGAAGUGUUAAUUGUUUUGCUGUAGUACAUCAUCUUGUAGUCAGCAUUUCUGGGUUCGAUUUUUGCAUGAAAAUAUGUGUUUAUGUGUGCCUAGUCCCUAAAUACCAUGAAGAUUUACAUUGCCUUAUGCAACUGGAUAUUUUCCAAAGGUAGACUGUUCUUUGUUAGCUCUAUAUGAGGUCAGAAAAGAAAAACAAUAAUAAAGGAAACAAAAUUACUUUUCUUGACCAGGACUUUUUUUAUGAAGACAUGGAGUCCUUGACGCAGAUGCUUAGGGCCUUGGCAACAGAUGGAAAUAAACACCGGGCCAAAGUAGACAAGAGAAAGCAGCGGUCAGUUUUCAGAGAUGUCCUGAGGGCAGUGGAGGAACGGGAUUUUCCAACAGAAACCAUUAAAUUUGGUCCUGAACGCAUGUAUAUUGAUUGCUGGGUAAAAAAACACACCUAUGACACCUUUAAGGAGGUUCUUGGAUCAGGGAUGCAGUACCACUUGCAGUCAAAUGAAUUCCUUCGAAAUGUAUUUGAACUUGGACCCCCAGUGAUGCUUGAUGCUGCAGCGCUUAAAACGAUGAAGAUUUCUCGUUUUGAAAGG